rnacentral:tRNA from 2 species
GUUUCAAUAGCUCAGCUGGAUAGAGCAAUGGCUUCCUAAGCCGUCGGUCGGGGGUUCAAAUCCCUCUUGAAACGCCA